rnacentral:rRNA from 2 species
ACGUAGGGUGCAAGCGUUAUCCGGAAUUAUUGGGCGUAAAGGGCUCGUAGGCGGUUCGUCGCGUCCGGUGUGAAAGUCCAUCGCUUAACGGUGGAUCCGCGCCGGGUACGGGCGGGCUUGAGUGCGGUAGGGGAGACUGGAAUUCCCGGUGUAACGGUGGAAUGUGUAGAUAUCGGGAAGAACACCAAUGGCGAAGGCAGGUCUCUGGGCCGUCACUGACGCUGAGGAGCGAAAGCGUGGGGAGCGAACAG